UACGGAGGGUGCAAGCGUUAAUCGGAAUUACUGGGCGUAAAGCGCGCGUAGGCGGUAGGGAAAGUUGGAUGUGAAAGCCCCGGGCUCAACCUGGGAAUUGCAUCCAAAACUACCCGGCUAGAGUGCAGCAGAGGAUGGUGGAAUUCCCGGUGUAGCGGUGAAAUGCGUAGAUAUCGGGAGGAACAUCAGUGGCGAAGGCGACUGUCUGGGCUGACACUGACGCUGAGGUGCGAAAGCGUGGGGAGCAUACAGG
rnacentral:misc_RNA from 1 species